GUCAUUUUAUAAACGUGGUUGGAGUGAUCUCGCAAGACUAACCUCAAAAUCUAAAAAACUUGGGUGCAUGCAAGCACCAGUAGCAAAGAGGUGAGCAAACCCCACUAACAAACUCUAGGUUACAAUGUGAUUAAAAAAACACUUUACAGUGGCGGGCCAAGCUGGUAGUCUAGGUAGGCACAGAACUACCAUAAAAUUUGGCCCAACAAAAUUUUAGUACUAUGCAGCCCAAUAGAAUUUUGGCCCAGAUGCUAAUUAAGACGCCCAACAUUUCAGCCAUUCACAACUUCCUGCUACCACCGUCCCCUUCAGCGUGAGCUCGCAACUCCACUUGCGACCGGAGACCGCCGCCCUCGGCCGAUUGCCCGCAGUAGCGCGGCCCCUCCCCGCCGGUAGCCGCCCGCCCGCCGCACCCCUGCUGACCGCAGCCCACGGCGCCCCUUUCUCGUGCUGUCGUGGUCGCGCCAUCGCGGCCUCGCCGAGCGGCACGCUGGCACCCUCGCCGCCCCACGGCCCUGUGUGGGGCGUGGCCGUGUUCGCCAGUCCACUGGAGCCAGGCGCGCCAAGAAGCUGGCCGGGUCAGCUGGCGGCCACCCAGUCCGCCGUACGCAACUGCUAUGGGCCCUGCCCCGUGCGCCAUGAAUACUACAACGCCGGGGGCAGCAACACCGGCACGGAGCGGUGGCGGACUAGUGCCAGGUGUUUGGCUACUGUGGUAACAUGGGCGAGCUUCAGCGGUCCACCAAGGAGUUCAAGAGAAACUAGGCGCCGGCGGGUUCGACGCCGUGUACCGCGGCGUGCUAGCGAACCGGAUGCGGUGGCGGUGAAGCAGCUGAAAGGGAUCAAGCAUGGGGACACCAUCCCUCGCUGAGCAUCGCGCCAAAAAAGAGAAACGUCGCCGGCUGCUCUUUACGCGUUAAUAGGCCAUGUUGUUGGGCUGACAGCCGUGCGAAGGAGGUAGAGCGCCUGAACUCAGUUGCUCUGUUGGAUGGCACGAACGGCAGGGAUGGAGCGACUGCAGCGAGCAGCCGUGAAGAGCAAUUGCAGAGGAUCUCAUUCUGACCCCUCACCACGGUCGUCUCCCGCUUGCUGUGGGGGCACGCGCUACUAGCAUAGCUCAUCGACGGCUGGACCGCGGCAUAGCAGAGCUCCUAAUGUGGCAGCCAGGCAGCCAGGCAAUGCCCGACAACCCUGUCCGGCUCUACGGCGACUGGAAGCCCCGGGACUCCAGGAGGUGUACGCGCUACCGCGGCAUAGCAGAGCUCCUAAACGGAGCAGCAGGUUUGAGGACAGGGCCUUGGUGCCGAUGCUGUGGGAUGCUGAAUGCUGCGAAGUGGUCUGCAACUCCAACGAGACCAUCGAGAUCCUCAAGUUGCUCUGCGACCUUGCGGGCAGCGACAAUGGCAGCUUCGACCUAUGGCCGCUGGAGCUGCAACAAUAAAUCGACAGCUGGUACGGCGUUAUCUACCCCAGUGUGACAGCGUCGGAAAUGGCAUGUACAGGACAGCCGAGUGGCCGACGAGGCGACGACCGUUUACUCGCCGAUGCGGCAUUGUUCACCGGGACUAUGGACGGGGCGCAGCUGCAGCUGUAGCCUCAAGGACCAACGGGACACAGGCCUUACUCCUAAAAUUCAAAAAAAAAUAAUAAAAUUAAUUAUUACAUCGAAUCUUACGAUAUAUGUACGGAGCAUUAAUAAAUAUAGAUAAAAAUAACUAAUGCAUAAUCUAUAUGUAAUUUACGAGAUGAAUGUUUUGAGUAUCUGAUACAAUUAUCAAAUACAAACAGAGUGCUACAAUACCGAACAAGGCCACAAUGUUGCCGAUGCCCCCCCGAUAUGGUUGCGUGCCGUGCCAGUUAGGGAACAGGGGACAGGCGAUGAUGCCGCCAUGCCGGACACUGACCGGCGCCUGGCGGUCAGCAGAUGCAGCUGUGAUUUGUGAAACGUGCGCGCAGCCAAGGUCCCCCUUGUUUGGCCUU